GGGGAAUAUUGGACAAUGGGGGAAACCCUGAUCCAGCCAUGCCGCGUGUGUGAAGAAGGCCUUUUGGUUGUAAAGCACUUUAAGCAGUGAAGAAGACUCCAUGGUUAAUACCCAUGGACGAUGACAUUAGCUGCAGAAUAAGCACCGGCUAACUCUGUGCCAGCAGCCGCGGUAAUACAGAGGGUGCAAGCGUUAAUCGGAAUUACUGGGCGUAAAGGGAGCGUAGGUGGCUCUAUAAGUCAGAUGUGAAAUCCCCGGGCUUAACCUGGGAACUGCAUCUGAAACUGUAGAGCUAGAGUAUGUGAGAGGAAGGUAGAAUUCCAGGUGUAGCGGUGAAAUGCGUAGAGAUCUGGAGGAAUACCGAUGGCGAAGGCAGCCUUCUGGCAUAAUACUGACACUGAGGCUCGAAAGCGUGGGUAGCAAACAGGAUUAGAUACCCUGGUAGUCCACGCCGUAAACGAUGUCUACUAGUCGUUGGGUCCCUUGAGGACUUAGUGACGCAGCUAACGCAAUAAGUAGACCGCCUGGGGAGUACGGCCGCAAGGUUAAAACUCAAAUGAAUUGACGGGGGCCCGCACAAGCGGUGGAGCAUGUGGUUUAAUUCGAUGCAACGCGAAGAACCUUACCUGGUCUUGACAUAUCUAGAAUCCUGCAGAGAUGCGGGAGUGCCUUCGGGAAUUAGAAUACAGGUGCUGCAUGGCUGUCGUCAGCUCGUGUCGUGAGA
rnacentral:rRNA from 1 species